rnacentral:rRNA from 1 species
AUGUCUUGGAAGAAUCUCUCUGUACCAAAAACUGAAGGAGGCAUGGGAUUCCGUGAUUUUAAGCUAUUUAACCUAGCCCUACUUGGCAAGCACUGGUGGAGGCUGCUGACACACCCUAACUCCUUGCGCUCCAGAGUUCUGAGAAGCAAGUACUUUCCUAACUGUGGUUUCAUGGAUGCUAUAGCACCUCGUUCGGUGUUUGCUACGUGGAAGACAAUUAUUUCAGGAGAAGUUGCAUUGGAGCAAGGUUUGAUCAAGAGAGUGGGGGAUGGCGAAUCCAUCUCUAUCUGGACGGAUCGUUGGAUACCAAACACGACCACUCUCAUGCCCAUGGGGCGCAUUGGGAACGAUCCUAUACAUCGUGUCUCGGAGUUGAUGGAUCAUGAUAAUGGUACUUGGGACGUGGAGCUAGUUCGAAGGAACUUUCUUGCACCAGAUGCGGAAGCUAUUUUGAACAUACCAUUGAGAUCGGCUGGUGGUGAGGAUUAUCUUGCUUGGCAAGGUUGUCAGAAUCGUGAUUUUGAAUCAAAUCGGAGCUCUGAUGGCAGGAUCGCAAAUCGUAGAAUCUUCACUAUCAGGAUCGUAGAAACAUAG